AGAGCGAACGCUGGCGGCAGGCCUAACACAUGCAAGUCGAGCGCGUGUAGCAAUACACGAGCGGCAGACGGGAGAGUAACACGUGGGAACGCGCCCUUCGGUUCGGAAUAACUCAGGGAAACUUGAGCUAAUACCGGAUACGCCCUUACGGGGAAAGAUUUAUUGCCGAAGGAACGGCCCGCGUCCGAUUAGCUAGUUGGUGAGGUAACGGCUCACCAAGGCGACGAUCGGUAGCUGGUCUGAGAGGAUGACCAGCCUCACUGGGACUGAGACACGGCCCAGACUCCUACGGGAGGCAGCAGUGGGGAAUAUUGGACAAUGGGCGCAAGCCUGAUCCAGCAAUGCCGCGUGAGUGAUGAAGGCCUUCGGGUUGUAAAGCUCUUUCGCACGCGACGAUGAUGACGGUAGCGUGAGAAGAAGCCCGGCUAACUUCGCGCCAGCAGCCGC
rnacentral:rRNA from 1 species